rnacentral:rRNA from 1 species
ACUCCUACGGGAGGCAGCAGUGGGGAAUAUUGCACAAUGGGCGAAAGCCUGAUGCAGCAACGCCGCGUGAGUGAUGAAGGCCUUCGGGUUGUAAAMCUMUGUCUUCUGGGACKAUAAYGACGGUACCAGAGGAGGAAGCCACGGCUAAMUMCGUGCCWGCAGCCGCGGUAAUACGUMGGUGGCAAGCGUUGUCSGGAUUUACUGGGCGUAAAGAAUGSSUAGGCGGAUAUUUAAKUCAGAUGUGAAAUCCCCGAGYUUAACYUGGGGGCKGCAUUUGAAACWGGAUAUCUAGAGUGCGGGAGAGGUAAGUGGAAUUCCUAGUGUAGCGGUGAAAUGCGUAGAGAUUAGGAAGAACACCAGUGGCGAAGGCGACUUACUGGACCSUAACUGACGCUGAGGCAUGAAAGCGUGGGGAGCAAACAGGAUUAGAUACCCUGGUAGUCCACGCCGUAAACGAUGGGUACUAGGUGUAGGAGGUAUCGACUCCUUCUGUGCCSCAGUUAACACAAUAAGUACCCCGCCUGGGGAGUACGGUCGCAAGAUUAAAACUCAAAGGAAUUGACGG